GGCUUUAUAGUCAAUAAUGACAUUAGACUGCAAUUCUAAAGGAGUAACAAGUUUACUAAGGCUU
rnacentral:tRNA from 1 species